GAUGAACACUGGCGGCGUGCCUAAUACAUGCAAGUCGAGCGAACGGACGAGAAGCUUGCUUCUCUGAUGUUAGCGGCGGACGGGUGAGUAACACGAGGAUAACCUCCCUAUAAGACUGGGAUAACUUCGGGAAACCGGAGCUAAUACCGGAUAAUAUUUUGAACCGCAUGGUUCAAAAGUGAAAGACGGUCUUGCUGUCACUUAUAGAUGGAUCCGCGCUGCAUUAGCUAGUUGGUAAGGUAACGGCUUACCAAGGCAACGAUGCAUAGCCGACCUGAGAGGGUGAUCGGCCACACUGGAACUGAGACACGGUCCAGACUCCUACGGGAGGCAGCAGUAGGGAAUCUUCCGCAAUGGGCGAAAGCCUGACGGAGCAACGCCGCGUGAGUGAUGAAGGUCUUCGGAUCGUAAAACUCUGUUAUUAGGGAAGAACAUAUGUGUAAGUAACCGUGCACAUCUUGACGGUACCUAAUCAGAAAGCCACGGCUAACUACGUG
rnacentral:rRNA from 1 species